rnacentral:rRNA from 1 species
UACGUAGGGCGCGAGCGUUGUCCGGAAUUAUUGGGCGUAAAGAGCUCGUAGGCGGCUUGUCGCGUCGGAUGUGAAAGCCCGGGGCUUAACUCCGGGUCUGCAUUCGAUACGGGCAGGCUAGAGUUCGGUAGGGGAGAUCGGAAUUCCUGGUGUAGCGGUGAAAUGACGCAGAUAUCAGGAGGAACACCGGUGGCGAAGGCGGAUCUCUGGGCCGAUACUGACGCUGAGGAGCGAAAGCGUGGGGAGCAAACAGG